ensembl:lncRNA
AUGAAGAGAAGCAAUCUUUAUGAGGACAGUCAAGGCUCUUCUGACCUGGUAAUGAAUAAAGAGCAAAUGGAACAGAGGAGGACCAAGGAACACAAGCAAAAACACAGAAAUUCCAGCGAAUUGGACACACAGGCUUUGGAAGAACUCAAAACGCAAUUUAAAAAACAAAAAAUGGACUGCAGAAGUGGAAUACAGAAGUGAAAGAGUGUCAAGGAAUUGAAACUCAGGAUGAAUGAGAUGGUAAUGAUCUACCUAGCUUCCCUCCAUGAGUUCAAAUCAUCAAUUCCAGAAUGUAUUCCAGGACAAUAAAGGAUGCUGUCCUCAGAUAUUUUCUUUGAAA